UUGACCUCGGAUCAGGUAGGAAUACCCGCUGAACUUAAGCAUAUCAAUAAGCGGAGGAAAAGAAACCAACAGGGAUUGCCCUAGUAACGGCGAGUGAAGCGGCAACAGCUCAAAUUUGAAAUCUGGCUUCGGCCCGAGUUGUAAUUUGUAGAGGAAGCUUUUGGUGAGGCACCUUCUGAGUCCCCUGGAACGGGGCGCCAUAGAGGGUGAGAGCCCCGUAUAGUCGGCUGCCGAUCCAAUGUAAAGCUCCUUCGACGAGUCGAGUAGUUUGGGAAUGCUGCUCAAAAUGGGAGGUAAAUUUCUUCUAAAGCUAAAUAUUGGCCAGAGACCGAUAGCGCACAAGUAGAGUGAUCGAAAGAUGAAAAGCACUUUGAAAAGAGAGUCAAAAAGUACGUGAAAUUGUUGAAAGGGAAGCGUUUGUGACCAGACUUCGCCUUCCAUCAUCAUGUGCUGUUCUCACCGGUGCACUCGGACAGCUCAGGCCAGCAUCGGUUUUGGCGGGGGAUAAAGGUCCGGGGAACGUAGCUCUCCGGGAGUGUUAUAGCCCGGCGUAAUGCCUCGCCGGGACCGAGGUUCGCGCAUCUGCAAGGAUGCUGGCGUAAUGGUCAUCAACG
rnacentral:rRNA from 1 species